rnacentral:rRNA from 1 species
GGCCAGACUCCUACGGGAGGCAGCAGUGGGGGAUAUUGCACAAUGGGGGGAACCCUGAUGCAGCGACGCCGCGUGGGUGAAGAAGCGCCUCGGCGCGUAAAGCCCUGUCAGCAGGGAAGAAAAUGACGGUACCUGAAGAAGAAGCCCCGGCUAACUCCGUGCCAGCAGCCGCGGUAAUACGGGGGGUGCAAGCGUUGUCCGGAAUCAUUGGGCGUAAAGAGUUCGUAGGCGGCACGUAAAGUCUGGUGUUAAAGGCAGAGGCUCAACUUCUGUACGGCACUGGAUACUUGCGAGCUAGAAUGCGGUAGAGGUAAAGGGAAUUCCUGGUGUAGCGGUGAAAUGCUUAGAUAUCAGGAGGAACAUCGGUGGCGUAAGCGCUUUACUGGGCCGUAAUUGACGCUGAGGAACGAAAGCCAGGGUAGCAAAUGGGAUUAGAUACCCCUGUA